GGGUACAUCUGCCGAAACCUUAGUGGAUUGAUUAAGCGACUCUAAACAAGUAUAAUCCUCGAGGCAUGCCCUCGAGCACUAGCCAUUUUGAUGGUGACAUUACCAAUAUGCGGGAACUGUCAAGUAUGUUGGCUAACCCGCAGCCACGAAUGUGGCUCACAGGCUAAAUGGUAAUGGGCGUCGCUGCGCAGCAGCAACGCUUCAGAUAUAGUCGGUCCCUGGAUACCUCUAGGAGACCUGUGGAUGGGUGACUUCCGCCCAUCCAUACAGGCGAGCAAAACGUUCCGUAGGUGAACCUGCGGAAGGAUCAUUAC
rnacentral:rRNA from 1 species